rnacentral:ncRNA from 1 species
GGGCAAAACAAGGGAAACCUUGUGACGCAAAGCUAAAGGGCCUGAAGGAAUCAUCUAUUGGCAGCCAGUUGCAG